rnacentral:lncRNA from 1 species
AAUGCGCCCCACUCCGCGGAAACGCAUGUGGCUCGACCUGAACUGUCGGGUACCCUGCCUUUCGUGACAAUCUGAAGAGCGCUUCUGCCUUGGCGAUCCUCGUACGCAGCGGGACUGUGGUUUGCAAACUUCUGAUCUGCAGGUUCUAGUUAGGAGCCGUAUGUUGGGGAGCCACUUUGCUUCAGUGAGUCCGCUAGAUAGCGAUGUUUACGUAGGCAUUAGAUAGUUAAACCGUCCGCAUACUCUGCAGAGGAUUGCCCGUUCGCUCGCGACCAGAGUGGAUGCAGAUGCCCGCGCGGUAAUUCAUGUGCUUCUCUCCAAGAAAGGACACAACUUAGCUAAUAGGGACGAGAGGUCAAUGAUUAUUAAAACGCAAACCGCCACAUAGUGUCGGAGACUUCGAAAAAAGUCGCUGGGGCCGAUAUAUUCCUUCCCGGUCCCCAGUGUUAUUUGUGUCGUGUACAGCAACUGAGUCGCUGCUUGCCGGAAUUCUGAGUACGCAUUCUGUUUCCAUAACAGUGUCAACCAUACAGUGCCGGCUAGAAGGUCGUGAUCCAAUGGUAGCCUGGAGGCAUCGCCAUAACGAUGAAUAAUGGGAAACCUUCAUUGAGCAGAGUUGCGAUUUCCGUAGGUGCUUGACGCCGUUCCAUAAUCCGACGGAAGGAAGUUUUGUGAGACCCUAUCACGAAAGUCUCAUUUCAUGUGAUUGUGGC